rnacentral:rRNA from 1 species
AUUGAACGCUGGCGGCAGGCCUAACACAUGCAAGUCGAGCGGAUGAAGGGAGCUUGCUCCUGGAUUCAGCGGCGGUCGGGUGAGUAAUGCCUAGGAAUCUGCCUGGUAGUGGGGGAUAACGUCCGGAAACGGGCGCUAAUACCGCAUACGUCCUGAGGGAGAAAGUGGGGGAUCUUCGGACCUCACGCUAUCAGAUGAGCCUAGGUCGGAUUAGCUAGUUGGUGGGGUAAAGGCCUACCAAGGCGACGAUCCGUAACUGGUCUGAGAGGAUGAUCAGUCACACUGGAACUGAGACACGGUCCAGACUCCUACGGGAGGCAGCAGUGGGGAAUAUUGGACAAUGGGCGAAAGCCUGAUCCAGCCAUGCCGCGUGUGUGAAGAAGGUCUUCGGAUUGUAAAGCACUUUAAGUUGGGAGGAAGGGCAGUAAGUUAAUACCUUGCUGUUUUGACGGUACCAACAGAAUAAGCACCGGCUAACUUCGUG